rnacentral:rRNA from 1 species
GACGAACGCUGGCGGCGUGCCUAAUACAUGCAAGUAGAACGCUGAAGAGAGGAGCUUGCUCUUCUUGGAUGAGUUGCGAACGGGUGAGUAACGCGUAGGUAACCUGCCUUGUAGCGGGGGAUAACUAUUGGAAACGAUAGCUAAUACCGCAUAACAAUGGAUGACACAUGUUAUUUAUUUGAAAGGGGCAAUUGCUCCACUACAAGAUGGACCUGCGUUGUAUUAGCUAGUAGGUGAGGUAAUGGCUUACCUAGGCCACGGUACCUAGCCGGACUGAGAGGGUGGUCGGCCCCACUGGGAAUUGGACCAGGCCCCGACUCCUUAGGGAGGGCGCAGGAGGGAAUCCUCGGCCAUUGGGGCAAAGCUGAACGAGCCACGCCGCGUGAGGGAAGAAGGGUUUCGGAUCGUAAAGAUCCGUUGUAAGUCAAGAAAGGGUGUUAGAGUGGAAAGUUCACGCUGUGACGGUAGCUUACCAGAAAGGGACGGCUAACUACGUG